ACGCACGCUGGCGGCAGGCCUAACCCAUGCAAGUCGCGCGAGGACUUCGGUUCUAGCGGCGGACGGGUGAGUAACGCGUGGGAAUGUGCCCUUCUCUACGGAAUAGCCCUGGGAAACUGGGAGUAAUACCGUAUACGCCCUAUUGGGGAAAGAUUUAUCGGAGAAGGAUCAGCCCGCGUUGGAUUAGGUAGUUGGUGGGGUAAUGGCCUACCAAGCCGACGAUCCAUAGCUGGUUUGAGAGGAUGAUCAGCCACACUGGGACUGAGACACGGCCCAGACUCCUACGGGAGGCAGCAGUGGGGAAUCUUAGACAAUGGGGGCAACCCUGAUCUAGCCAUGCCGCGUGAGUGAUGAAGGCCUUAGGGUUGUAAAGCUCUUUCAGCUGGGAAGAUAAUGACGGUACCAGCAGAAGAAGCCCCGGCUAACUCCGUG
rnacentral:rRNA from 1 species